rnacentral:rRNA from 1 species
UACGAAUGGGGCAAGCGUUGUUCGGAAUCACUGGGCUUAAAGCGUGCGCAGGCGGCCUUGCAAGUCAGAAGUGAAAGCCUGGGGCUCAACCCCAGAACUGCUUUUGAAACUGCAAGGCUAGAAUCCUGGAGAGGUCGGGGGAAUUCCGAGUGUAGAGGUGAAAUUCGCAGAUAUUCGGAGGAACACCAGUGGCGUAGGCGCCCGACUGGACAGGUAUUGACGCUCAGGCACGAAAGCGUGGGGAGCAAACAGG